GUAAGGAGGGGGAGAGGAGGGAGAGGAGGGAGGAGAGGAGGGUAGAUAGAGGAGGGUGUAAGGAGGAGGAGAGAAUGGAGGGUGUAAGGAGGAGGAGAGGAGGAGAGAGAGGAGGGUGUAAGGAGGAGGAGAGGAGCAGGGAGAUGAGGGAGUAAGGAGGAGGGAGGAGAGGGUGUAAGGAGAGGAGGGUUAAGGAGGAGGAGAGGAGGAGAGAGAAGAGGGUUAAGGAGAGGAGGAAGAAGAGGAGGGUGUAAGGAGGAGGAGAGGAGGGUGUAAAGAGGAGUGGAGCAGGGAGAGGAGGGUGUAAGGAGGAGGAGAGGAUGAGGGAGAGGAGGGUUAAGCAGGUUGAGAGGAGGAGAGGAGGAGGGAGCGGAGGUUAUAAGGAGGGGAGGAGGAGGUAGACGAUAGAGGAGAAGAUGUCAACGAGACGGGUAGAGUGACACAUAGCGUUGCCCCACCUUACAACAUCCCCCCUCCCACCUCCCAGCCGACCGUUGGUAACCAUAGCACCCAGCUAGCCAUCUGGCCAGCCCAACCCUACCUUGCGGAGCUUUCUCCAGAUGAUCUUCACAUUAACUGAGGACUCAGAUAAUUCUUAAGCCUCCUCUAUUUCAGAUCCAAUAACGGAUAAGAGUGUAUUUCAGCAUGAUCAACUGGCAAUCAGUCCCCGCACACCUCUAGUUUACUGCUUCUCAGGAUUACUGCAGUGGAGGAGAGGAGGGGUUUCUAAAGACUUCACAAGGGUGGAGAGAGUGUGUGUGGGGGGGGGGGGAGUCCACCUGCCAGCACCACUGAGUUUGUCAGGUUUGGAAUUAGGCCAGAGGGAAGACAUUUUUUAUUUGACCUUUAUUUUUGACAGGGAGUGAUGGAUAAAGAAGUAAUACUACCAAUCAACAUACAACUCGUAAUAUCUUUUACAAUAUGUAAUAAACAAAAAUACUCACACCCUGAUCUGUUUCACCUGUCCUUGUGCUUGUCUCCACCCCCCUCCAGGUGUCGCCCAUCUUCCCCAUUAUCCCAUGGCCUGCCUGCCGUCCUGUGCCUUUGCCACUACUCUGGAUUGUCGAUGCCACUACUCUGGAUUGCCUGCCUUGACCUGUCAUUUGCCUGCCCCUGUUGAUGUAAUAAACAUUGUUACUUCAACACAGUCUGCAUUUGGGUCUUACCUGAAAUGUGCAAAAAAUUAUACAAAACCAG
rnacentral:lncRNA from 1 species